rnacentral:rRNA from 1 species
UUAGGAAUAUUGGACAAUGGGGGCAACCCUGAUCCAGCCAUGCCGCGUGUGUGAAGAAGGCCUUAGGGUUGUAAAGCACUUUCGUCUAUGAAGAUAAUGACAGUAGUAGAAGAAGAAGCUCCGGCUAAAUUCGUGCCAGCAGCCGCGGUAAUACGAAUGGAGCGAGCGUUGUUCGGAAUCACUGGGCGUAAAGGGUGCGCAGGCGGUCGUGAAAGUUAGGAGUGAAAUCCCAGGGCUUAACCUUGGAAUGGCUUUUAAAACUACACGACUUGAGUACUGGAGAGGUUGGCGGAAUUCCGAGUGUAGAGGUGAAAUUCGCAGAUAUUCGGAGGAACACCAAUGGCGUAGGCAGCCAACUGGACAGUUACUGACGCUCAUGCACGAAAGCGUGGGGAUCAAA